CGCAGGCGGAAGAUCAAGUCAGCGGUAAAAUUGAGAGGCUCAACCUCUUCGAGCCGUUGAAACUGGUUUUCUUGAGUGAGCGAGAAGUAUGCGGAAUGCGUGGUGUAGCGGUGAAAUGCAUAGAUAUCACGCAGAACUCCGAUUGCGAAGGCAGCAUACCGGCGCUCAACUGACGCUCAUGCACGAAAGUGUGGGUAUCGAACAGGAUUAGAUACCCUGGUAGUCCACACAGUAAACGAUGAAUACUAAUUGUUCGGGGAGAAUGAUCCCUGAGUGAUACAGCGAAAGCGUUAAGUAUUCCACCUGGGGAGUACGCCGGCAACGGUGAAACUCAAAGGAAUUGACGGGGGCCCGCACAAGCGGAGGAACAUGUGGUUUAAUUCGAUGAUACGCGAGGAACCUUACCCGGGCUCAAACGACACAGGAAUACUUUUGAAAGGAAGUAGCUCUACGGAGCCUGUGUCGAGGUGCUGCAUGGUUGUCGUCAGCUCGUGCCGUGAGGUGUCGGCUUAAGUGCCAUAACGAGCGCAACCCCCAUCGCCAGUUACCAGCAAGUCAAGUUGGGGACUCUGGCGAGACUGCCGGCGCAAGCUGUGAGGAAGGCGGGGAUGACGUCAAAUCAGCACGGCCCUUACGUCCGGGGCGACACACGUGUUACAAUGGCAGGUACAGAGAGAAGCAAUGCGGCGACGCAAAGCGGAACUUGAAAGCCUGUCUCAGUUCGGAUUGGAGUCUGCAACUCGACUCCAUGAAGCUGGAUUCGCUAGUAAUCGCGCAUCAGCCAUGGCGCGGUGAAUACGUUCCCGGGCCUUGUACACACCGCCCGUCAAGCCAUGGAAGCCGGGAGUGCCUGAAGUGUGCAACCGCAAGGAGCGCCCUAAGGUAAAACUGGUGACUGGGGCUAAGUCGUAACAAGGUAACCGUAA
rnacentral:rRNA from 1 species